GACGUAGUUUGGUGACGUGAGGUGGCGGACGGGUUUUUUGAGUAACGCGUGAGGAACCUGCCUUUCAGAGGGGGACAACAGUUGGAAACGACUGCUAAUACCGCAUGACACAUUGGGGUCGCAUGGCCCUGAUGUCAAAGAUUUAUCGCUGAAAGAUGGCCUCGCGUCUGAUUAGCUAGUUGGUGAGGUAACGGCCCACCAAGGCGACGAUCAGUAGCCGGACUGAGAGGUUGACCGGCCACAUUGGGACUGAGAUACGGCCCAGACUCCUACGGGAGGCAGCAGUAGGGAAUAUUGCACAAUGGAGGAAACUCUGAUGCAGCCAUGCCGCGUGUGUGAAGAAGGCCUUCGGGUUGUAAAGCACUUUCGGAGGGGAGGAAAAGAUGACGUUACCCUCAGAAGAAGCACCGGCUAACUCCGUG
rnacentral:rRNA from 1 species